rnacentral:hammerhead_ribozyme from 1 species
AUCCAACUGACGUCUCCUAAAUAGGACGAAACUCCCGUCCUGGAU